rnacentral:lncRNA from 1 species
AUGAAUCGAUGAAGUCAUUAGAGAAUGAGAUUCUAGGACCAUUCAUUGAAGAAAAUAACUUGUGGUGGUCAGUGGUGUUAUUUGUGUUGUUGUACAUAUUUUUGUAAGCAUGCCAUGAAUGAAGAGGAGAAGUAUGAGACCAUCAUAUUGGUACUAAUCUGAGGUGGUAAUGCAAAAUAUGACCCCAACCACCCUGACCAUAGGGGACCCUCUUUCUCUGUUACUUACCCACCAGCAGAUGUUUGUAUUUAUAUCAUCACCAGUAGAGGCCCUGCGAUCUUGGAGUGACAACAACCAAGGGGUAAGGGGAGCUUUUUCUUUACAAAAUUGGUCGCUUGGUCGAAACUAGUUAUAUUGCUAGUUAAUAAGUAUUUAAAAUAUAGUGCUUUUUUUGUUUCAAUUUAUGUAAAUGUAUUUGAUUGGGUAUAGAAUUUAGGAAAAAAUAAAGAUUUUUUGAAUUUGUUGUUAUAAGCAAGUCAAAAAUGAGUUCAGAGUAUUGCAUCGUUAUAAAAGUUUUCAUUAAGGAUAAAAUUGGAUGUUUAAGCUAAAUUAUUUUCAAAUUUAGAAAGGGGUUAUUCUUUUUUUAAAGAAUUGCAAAAAGAAAAUGCACAUGACUUCACAUCAUAAUAAAAAGUAACCUACAUGUUUAAGUUUUACAUGACCUAACCCAUAUUGUGCAUAUUUUGAAAGCACUUGCAAAUUCAAAAAUUGUGUUUUUACAAUCAUUGCUUCUAAAAGUUAUGGAGUUAAAUCUUUGUUCUCACAACCAUUGCUUUUACUCUCUCUUAUUCUCACAUCUUCAGCAUAUGCUUCAAGAGGC